CUAUUAUCGAUGACAUGAGGCUGUGAACGCUCUUCCUCCCUCUUCCACGGGAGGCCAAGAUGACCACCGCUGUCAGCAGCUGCCGCCAGCUCCUCUCCUCCCCAUCUCUCCCCACCUUCUUGCGCCGCCCACCGUCUCCUCCACUCCCUCGGCGCUUCUUCAGCUGCAGCGGCAGGAAGAAGCGGCAACAGUGGCAGCCGCGCCGCAGCUCCGCCGGCUUCCGGGCGCGGUGCGGACUCCUACCGGUGGACCCCUGGGCGCCCACCGUCGACUCCCAGAGCGUCGCCUCCCAGCUCUUCGCCGCCUCCCUCUUCCCCUACCUGGGCUUUCUGUACUACAUCACCAGGUCGAACACCGCGCCCAAGCUCACCCUCUUUGGCUUCUACUUCCUGCUCGCCUUCGUUGGCGCCACAAUUCCUGCUGGUAUAUAUGCAAAGGUGCAUUAUGGAACCUCAUUGUCAAAUGUUGAUUGGCUGCAUGGUGGAGCAGAAUCCUUGCUUACUCUCACAAACUUGUUUGUCGUUUUGGGUUUGAGGGAAGCAUUGAGGAAAAUAAAGGAAGCAAAAAAGAGCACACCUCCAGUAGUUUCAGAAGUUAAAGAAAAAAGUUCCGUAUAGGAAGCUUCAGGCUGUUACGUCUGCAGAACAAAGAAACACAGUUGUGACCUGGUGUAACAAAAGCUUUGUCAUAUAUGAUGCUUCUUUUCCACAGAAGAUUGUUCUUUUCUUGAGCAAGUGGUCUCGUCAAAUUGUACCCUAAAUUGAUUGACAGCUAGACCCUUCCCCAGCAAUCACUUAGUAUAUUCUAAUUUGGUACAAGAGAUCUGUGAGCUCAAGUCACUCUUUGCAAGAUGGGAUGGAUCACCGGAAGGCCUUUGUCUGCAAUCUUCUCCAGAGUCAAAUGCAAAGGACAUAAUUCAGAGACGAGCAUUUGCAUAUUAUCUGAACUACUUACCAAGGAGGCGAUGCGAGUCGGCUAGAUAUAAUCUUGUUGCUAUAGUGUGCUCAGAAGAUUAUUGACAGCCUGAUGCUAAGUAUACUGUAAUCUUAAAAAAGAAAGAUAGGAGUCAUUCAGAUUGUGAUUGUGAUGCAGAGAUCCAUCUUAAACAUGUAUCAGCACCUGGCAACUUCAGCUUCUUCUCCCUAAUGACCCACUGUAUUCUCUUUCGAAUCUUCAUGCUGAAGCAACUGUUUAGAUUAACAGUUCUCUCCAAUUUCUGCCCUAUUAAAGAUCUAUCCCUCAUUGGUCCA